UGUUCGGUUUGGUUUAUA
rnacentral:sRNA from 1 species